AACCCAUGGUGAGGGUACCUUCUCAAUAAGUCCUUAUACCUCUCCCAUGCAUCAUAUAGAGUUUUUAAAUCCAUUUGUACAAAGGAGGAGAUAUUAUUCCUCAACUU
rfam:Gossypium arboreum cultivar AKA8401 contig_31889_1, whole genome shotgun sequence.